GUUAUUUAAAGCUAUAGAGAAAUGAUGGUUGUGCUUGGAAUGCAACUCCCAAAACAGUUUUCUGUUUUGGGAGUUACACAAAACUGAAAAGAGGUGUUGUUUUUUUUUUUUUUUUUUUUUUUUUUUUUGCUUGGGUCUAUUUUUGAGAAAUAGUUUUUAUAAAACUGAGUUUUCAUAGUGUGAGUUUCUAAAGAACAACUUAAACCUGUUUUCAGAAUUUCCAGAACUGUUGAGGGACUCUUUUGAAAACACGGAGAACACUAUCGCCAGUUAAAAAAUGACGAUAACCCUCGUAUCGUUUAUAACACAAGCGGCGCAACAUUCAUCUUUUCUCUCUUCAACCUCUCUGCAACGCAUUUUCUCUCUUUUCAACUCUCUGCCUGAUCUCGUUUAUAACACAAACUCUACAAUGCAUCUAUCUUCUCUCUCUUCAACCUCUCUACAACGCAUCUUCUCUCUUGUCAACCUCUCUGCAACUAAGAGAAGGUAGAUCUGGUUCUUGAAGAUCAUUAUUUACACAAAGAGAAGGGUGGAUCUGGUUCUUCAAGCUCUCUUUCUUUAGAUUUUUUACUCAUAUACGUGGCUUAAAGAUCUGCUGCUUCCAAAAAUAUUUUUUAUUCAGUGAGCUUGCAUUAACUGGUUCCACCUAGCAAAAACAGUUUGGCCAAUGAUUACAUCAUCUUGCAUGUGGACUUGCAAAAGCAUGUUGUCAAUAGCAUCCCCUGUUUGUUCUUCACAGCAUGCAUCUUCCACAGUCAACAAUAAAGACUUUUGCUGGUCACAUCUCCAAAAAACAACAUAAUAUUGCUUUAUCAUGCUGGCAAUGCAAAUUAGAAAGAUGAAUUUUGCAACAGCCUCCAGUUUCAUCUUUCAAGGUUAUACUUUCAUAGAUAAAUUAGGCUAUCCUUGGACAACUGAUCCCUUUUCCUUCCAUUUAUGAUUGAAGCACAACAUUAUACUCCAGUUUCAUCUUCCAAUAUCUCUUGAAGCACAACACUGUACUUUUGCUUUGGGAGAUCCCAUGGCUUCAUAAUCUUUUCAGCUAAAAUCUGAUUGAGUUAAAAACAAAUGAUAGUAGAUUGAUUUUUUUAUUUUUUUGGAAUUUUGUGAUGCAAAGGAUGUUCAUCUAUUUUUUUUUUUUCCUUCUCAUAUCAUAUUGGCUUGCUAUUUAAUACUUUAUGGGUGUGAUAUAUAUUUAAGGUUUGUGAAAAUCCACUUUAUUGCUUGUAAUUCUUUGUCUAAUGCACAAAUAAAAUAUGGCAUCUCAAAUUGCUCAUGUUGAGGAGUCAGCUCUAUGGUCUACACAUUUAGAGAAAUGUUUUGUUGAUAUAAUGGUUGACGAGGUUAACAAGGGGAACAUGCCAUUAGGGACAUUUACUUUUAAGUGUUGGAAAAAGAUUAGAGAGGAGUUCCAAAAAAGGACUAACCACGCUUAUAAUGUGGAGCAACUAGAGCAAAAAUUUAAUCGACUACGUAUAAAGUAUUGUGAUUUUUCAACUCUUCUAAGCAAGACAACUGAGUUUGGUUGGGAUGCGGAAACAAACACUGUGACUGCUGAUGAAGAAACUUGGCAACCAUAUUUGCUGGCUCAUCCCAAUGCUAAGUGUUUUUGCAAAAAAAGGUUGUGAAAAUUACAAACUUUUGGGAGUUCUUUUCAAUACGUCGACUGUUACUGGGUAACUUCACUAUACAUCCACUCAAGAUCCACCUAAUACAGAUGAAGAACGAGAGCAUGAGAAUCAAUUUAUGAAUAUAGGUGUCCAUGUUAGUUCAACUGCUAAUGGUUAAGAUCAGAUAAUAUUUUAUUUGAAGACAAUAAUCCUCGUUGUCGUAAAUCCACAUCCUCUGAUCAUCGUGCAAAAAAUGAGACUAAAAAAGAUUCCAUUAGUGACACUCUUGCUUGCAUUGCUAAAGUUUCCAAAGCAAGGACUGAAGCUUCAUUAGCUAAGGCGGAGAGGUAUAAGAAAAUGAGACAUACUCAAGAGGCAACUAGCCUUGAUCCAUACUCUCUAAGUAAUUGUAUUGAAUGCCUUGAAGGUCUUGAUGAGAUAGAUGAUGACACAUAUUUGAAGGUAACUGAAAAGUUCAAGGAACUGCAUUAUAGAGAAUUGUUCAUUAAGAUGAGUAUUUCCAUGAAGUUUGCUUGGUUGAAGAGCUUGGACUGACUUGGGUGAUUACUGAAUGCAAGGUUUAGUUUUUGGAUGCAUCUGACUUGAAACACAUAUUUGGUUUUAUGUCUAAUUGAACAAUUUCCUUAUGCCUUUUUUUUUUUUCCCUAUGCAUGUGACUUUAUGUUAUAUUUGUUUGGGGGACAAUUUAUUAUAUUUUAUGUUAUGAAAACUUUGUUUUGAUA